GUAGGCGAAUCUCUUCUCUUUCACUCUCAUUUCCUUUCAAAGUUUCACCUGUGGGAACCGCUAAUAAAUGCCGGAGGGAGACUCUGCCCUGGUCUUCCAAGAGCAUGUUGGCGUUGCUGCUGCUGCUCCUCGUGAGCUGCCUUUGGAUCCGGCUGCACUUCCACUCCAGAUACCAGCUCAAGAUCACUGAAAUUCCAUCCUCAAGGAAUCCAUAGAUUCGAAGGUGUUUGUUACAUGGCUACACCCAGCUGGAUUCUGCAUCAAAGAAUCAGGAAAGGAGCAAGAGGAGUUGAGCCUUGCAAGGGAAAUAAAUCAAGAUUGGAGGGACCUAAAACAAGCCAGUGGACAGUCAAUGGAUGGACGGCUGUUGGGAUCAAAAACAGAGCAACCAACAUCCCCCAACUGCCUUGCAAAACACACACACACAGAGCAUAUAAGAUACAACUUGGUCAUCAGAUGUUGGAAAAUAAAGACAAGGACACCACCAUUAAUGCAGGAACAUUGUGUUUAACUGAAGCAUCAACAUUACUAUGAAAAAACACCUCAUGCUUGAUACCGGCGUAAACAUUCAGUUAGUUGAAAGAAAUAAACUCCAGCACUUGCUUCCCCCCCCCCCGGGGCUUUCCUUCUUUAAAAAAUGAUAUCAAAUUUGACCAGCAGACUCUCGCCAUCACUUGGACCCUCAUUUCAGUUCUUGCGACGGACUUCUGCAUAAUCGAUCUGAAAGGGAAGACGGAAAGAAAGAGCUACUCUCUUCCAGUUCAUAAAGGACUUUUCCCCCCUUGUUGUGCUGGUCGUAGACCGUAAUAAACUUUGAUAGAUUGAUUUCAUAAAGGGUUCAGAGUUUGGUUGCCUGAGCCCCAUUUUCCCUCGCCACAGGCGAUCAGGCAAGACUCUGCAUAUGGCAUUUCCCACAAAGUAAUUCAUAAAUAGGCUCCACAGUCUCCUACCACUUUUUUAGUCCUGGGUGAAUACGAAUACGAAUACGAAUUCCACUUCUAGGGUCUCAAUUCCACCCACAACCAAUGAUCAGGACACAGAGGAGCCAGCAAAGUCAGGAGGGCCAGUGGUAAAAACUGGAGAGGUACUGGACUCUGGUCUCAACAAAUGUCUAAAACGGAUAUCAAAAAUUCCCUUGAAAACAGGCAAAAACCAUCAGGGACAGCCAGCACCUGGGUUUGGCCAGUUUUCGCACCACCAGCUGAGGGCCCACCUGAUUGGUCAACUCCUGAACCCCCAAUAAUGGUGGCGAGAGCCAUGCAAGUCAAGCGAGAGCUUUGUGCCACUGCUGUUAUGACAUAGGAUCAGGAAGCUGCCUUCUACUGAGUCAGACCCUUGGUCCAUCUAGUUCAGAACUGUCUACACAGACUGGCAGCAGCUCUCCAAGGUUUCAGGCUCAGGAGUUUCUCCCAGCCCUUUCUUGGAGAUGCUGCCUGAGAGGGAACCUGGAACCUUCUGAUGCUCCUCCCAGAGCAGCCCCAUACCCUAAGGGGAAUAUCUUAAAAUGCUCACAUAUAGUCCCAUCCAAACACAAACCAGGGUGGACCCUGCUUAGCAAAGGGUAAUUUUAUUCAUGCUUGCUGUGACAAGACCAGUUCUCUUGUUCCUUCAGAAACUUUCUCAGCUGUUGAAUGAGCAAUAAAAGUGUUUUGUGUGGUGAAACCUCUUCUGCGCCAUUACGCCCCAAACAAAGGUGAACCUCUGGUUCCCCCCACCUCCCCUUCCCUUUCCCCCCUCCAAAACCAAAAGUUGAAGCAGUCUUUUCUGAGUGGAAAAAAGUCCCACAAGCCGGCCGUCUUUUGAAGGGAAGCUGAUCCCAUCUCUCGAGUAUCCCUGGCGUUCGGAUUCCUCCCGAAAAGGUCUUGUGCCUCUUGACUUGGCCUACUUGUGUUCAGUGGGGUGUGCGCCACUGAAUCCUUCCCAGUUUUUUCAACUGAUUUCAAAAGUGCUUGUAAAUUGCUUUGUAUUGUAUUUUGUGGUUUCUGCCCCCCCCAAUUUUAUUUGCGGGGGGCGGCGGGGU